CUCAGCAUUUGUGUUGAGAUGUAGUUCCCGAAGCUGACAUGUAACAUCUCAAAACUUCAAAUCCUUUCAUAUGCAUUGCAUCCAUAAGCAUCAUGCCACAAUUGCAUAUUUGAAUUCAAAUUUGAAUCUCAAAAGGCUUUAAAAGAAUUUUAUUUCAAUUUAAGCCCUAGGGUUUACACCCAUUUGAGUUUUGAAUCUUCAAACCAAUAAGGUUUUAUUUAUAAAAGGGGUUUAUUGCAUAUAUGAGCUAUCCCAUAAUAUUUAAGAUUUUAUUUGGAGUUGAAAAAGUAUUUUAUUUAAAUAGUUAUAUGGUCCUAAAGGCAUUUAUAGGACAAAUGUAAUUUUAUAUAUUUUAUUUUGAGGGGGAAUUACUCCCAAAAGUUGAAUCAUGAUAAAACAUGAUUUUACAAAUUUUCUGGAAUUUAUUUGGGCCAUUUUGGAGUUCAAAAUCAAAAAAUAUCAAAGAAAUAAGAAACAGGGAAAAAGAAAAGGCUAAAAGAAAAAAAAGGAGAAAACCGGACCGGCCCGACCGUUUUGGGCUGAACCGGCCCAGUUCCGGGCAAACCGACCGCGCC
rnacentral:lncRNA from 1 species